rnacentral:tRNA from 1 species
GCUGAGAUGUCCGAGUGGUUUAAGGAGCUGGAUUCAAGUGUCACAACUUGCACUGAAUGUGUUUCCCAGUAGGGCAACCUGCGGGGGUUUGAAUCCCCCUUUCAGCA